CUAAGGAUAUUACGGAAUGACCAUAAGGUCAUGGAAUAACGGAGACAUAUUGUAUUCAGUUUUGAAUGUUUAUUUGACAUUCAACAUUGCACAUUGAAAACUAGAUAAGUAAGCAAAUAGAUUUUACCAAGCAAAAAACCGAGUGAAUUUUUAACGAAAUUCAACAAGCUUAAUAAUCGCGCGUCGUCUUUUUAGACGACAUCACAGAUUAAUAACUGGUAAAGGUUAGUUAAACAUGGUUGCAUCUUCGAUACACAGUGGCUUAACUAAGGAUUUACAU
rnacentral:misc_RNA from 1 species